CCAAAGAAUUUAGUUACACUUGGCACACUUAAGGUGACGUAACGUUCGUGUUCUACUUACCCUCUCCCGCUGUGGAAAGUUAUGAAACAUGGCUUCCGGUUCAAUAUUGUAGUUCACUGAUUUAAGCAGAAAGCGCGCAAAACAAGACAUGGCGGAUAAUACAAACGAUAUUUCGAGAAGGCUGACAGAAGCGAUAGGAAGGGUAACCACGCAAACUUUGGAUACAAUAGAGGCAUCAAUGGCUGAUGACAUCUCAAGCCAAAACAGUUCUAAUGCUAGUUUUAUUACAAUCCAGCCUGUCCAGCAAACGUUGCUUUGAAGUUUGAAGAAUGUCGAGCAAUUGAUUUUCGCAACUGGAGAGAAUUUAAAGAAGGAAAUACAGAAGAAUUUGCAUAAAAGGAUUAAAUAUACAGGCUGGCAAUACUAAAUUGUAAAUCUUUUUUGUACAAAACGGGCUUAAAACAUUUGUUAUUUAAAACGGCUCGCUAUACUUCAUUUACCUUUUCGUCAUGAUUAUUUUCAGAACAUAAAGCAAUAUAUAUUUCUUGUUCGAUCUGUUAGUUAAGUUUGAUUACUAAAAAAUUUCUUUAGGAUUUAAAUGUAUUAAAUUCUUAUUCCAUACAUAACGUACAAGAUCACCUUUUAAACAGCUAAAAUAUUGACUACAAUCAUUUAUUAAAAUGAUCCAUCAUGGUGGUUAUGACGUAACUAGCAGACCAUGCUGAGGAAUGGGAAAAAAGUUUUUCAAAAAAGGAUAGCAACAAGAAUUGACGGGGAGGUGAAAGAAUUCGCCACAUAUCUUGUGUACUCCUGCUUUAUGGACGGUGAAAGCUUUUCAUUGGUCAACAAGAUUGUCAAAACGGUAGUCAACAUCAACACUGAUCAACAGUCCUUCUCAGGACUUUAAUAAAACGCACACGAUCUACAUCUACUAACAUGCUGGUUCUCAGAAAGUCGUCCGAGGAGUUUGAGUCGUCUUAAAUGAGCCAUUUCACUCGCGUUGAUAAAGCACCAUCCAAUGAGCUUGCGUUCUAGAGGUGACUGAAAUGAGUGAAUCUACUAUUUGCGAAUCACGCUUUAAUUUUCUAAUUUUGUUCGAGCUGUGCAAGCAAUGUGAGGAUGUUGUCAACAAAAUAAAAAAUAGCAAAUUUUGUGCGCUUGUGUUUGAACCUUAAAUUUCGUGCAAAGUCAAUAAAGAAUUACAAAAGAAUUGGAUCUUCGUGUUUUUGUCAUUAAAAAAACACCCUAACAACUAUAUUUUUAAUGGCAAGAUUUUAUACUAUGUGCAUUUAUUAAUUUGAGAUGAAACGUGAGAUAUAGAGAUAUAUUAAAAUGAGAUUAAUAUAUUUCGUGUUGUCUA